AAAGACCUGGACGAAUCGGCGACGCAUUACCGUGUUUGCGGGGCGCAUUUCAUCACAGGACGACCAGCUUAUUUGAUGGAUGAGGCAAAUCCCGACUGGGUGCCGAACCUAAUCUCGGCUACAAGUCAACAACGCAUGCUGGAAGAAGCGCAAGCGACAGGUACACGCGACUCAAGCAACGGAAGCGCGCGAGUUCUGCAGCCAGCGCAUUUCCAUUAAAGCAACGACCGGGGAGCGCGAGCACAAACGCGGCGCCCAUCGCUACAGGUACGGCAGCAGAGG
rnacentral:lncRNA from 1 species